rnacentral:rRNA from 1 species
CCUACGUGUGGCAGCAGUGAGGAAUAUUGGUCAAUGGGCGGAAGCCUGAACCAGCCAAGUAGCGUGCAGGAUGACGGCCCUACGGGUUGUAAACUGCUUUUAUACGGGAAUAACGCGCCUUACGUGUAGGCCUUUCAUGUUCCCGAUUAAUUAGGACCCGCCCAUUCCGUGCCAGGAGCCGGGGUUAUACCGGAGGUCCGGGCGUUAUCCGGAUUUUUUGGGUUUUAAGGGAGCGUAGGCCGCAUGUCAAGCGUGCUGUGAAAUGUCCGGGCUCAACCCGGGCCUUGCAGCGCGAACUGGCGUGCUUGAGUCCGCGGAAAGCAGGCGGAAUUCGUCGUGUAGCGGUGAAAUGCUUAGAUAUGACGAAGAACCCCGAUUGCGAAGGCAGCUUGCUGCAGCGGAACUGACGCUGAUGCUCGAAAGCGCGGGUAUCGAACAGGAUUAGAUACCCUAGUAGUC